UGGGGAAUUUUGGACAAUGGGGGAAACCCUGAUCAAGCCAUCCCGCGUGUGCGAUGAAGGCCUCCGGGUUGUAAUGCACUUUUGGCAGGAAAGAAACGUCAUGGGUUAAUACCCCGUGAAACUGACGGUACCUGCAGAAUAAGCACCGGCUAACUACGUGCCAGCAGCCGCGGUAAUACGUAGGGUGCAAGCGUUAAUCGGAAUUACUGGGCGGAAAGCGGGCGCAGGCGGUUCGGAAAGAAAGAUGUGAAAUCCUAGAGCUCAACGUUGGAACUGCAGUUUUAGCUACCGGGCUAGAGUGUGUCAGAGGGAGGUGGAAUUCCGCGUGUAGCAGUGAAAUGCGUAAAUAUGCGGAGGACCACCGAUGGCGGAGACAGCCUCCUGGGAUAACACUGACGCUCAUGGACGGAGGCGUGGGGAGCAAACAGU
rnacentral:rRNA from 1 species